ACGCACGCUGGCGGCGUGCCUAAUACAUGCAAGUAGAACGCACAGUUUAUACCGUAGCUUGCUACACCAUAGACUGUGAGUUGCGAACGGGUGAGUAACGCGUAGGUAACCUGCCUGGUAGCGGGGGAUAACUAUUGGAAACGAUAGCUAAUACCGCAUAAUAUUAAUUAUUGCAUGAUAAUUAAUUGAAAGGUGCAAUUGCACCACUACCAGAUGGACCUGCGUUGUAUUAGCUAGUAGGUGAGGUAACGGCUCACCUAGGCGACGAUACAUAGCCGACCUGAGAGGGUGAUCGGCCACACUGGGACUGAGACACGGCCCAGACUCCUACGGGAGGCAGCAGUAGGGAAUCUUCGGCAAUGGACGAAAGUCUGACCGAGCAACGCCGCGUGAGUGAAGAAGGUUUUCGGAUCGUAAAGCUCUGUUGUAAGAGAAGAACGGGUGUGAGAGUGGAAAGUUCACACUGUGACGGUAUCUUACCAGAAAGGGACGGCUAACUACGUG
rnacentral:rRNA from 1 species